CAAUUGCGUUAGUGUAGCCAGAGAUGGGGACAUCAAGAAGCAGAUGCCGCCAUGCUGGAUUAGGGCAGAUGCGGCCGGAAUUGGAACCCCUUACCCUCCAGGAUCUUGCAGUCUAGUGCUGAAGAAGGAAUAUAAGCCAACGUUUAGAAUAUGAAGCCUAUAAAUGAUAGCAUUGAGGAAGGAAGUUCAGGCUGUCCUGCUGUAGGAAGGUCAUCGUGUGGGGAAGCACUGGAAGAUGAGACAUCACAUGUAGAGAGAGGCUAUGUGGGUGAGAACUGAGCCAGCAAGCAGUCAGCAUGAGGCCACAGAUGUGUGAGGGAGCCAUUCUCGGCUCUUUUCAUCCCAGCCAUCAACCUUUUUGAACGCAAUCUCAUGAACUGCAGUGGAGCUAAUAACGCCACAAAGCCAGAAAACUGCCUACUCCUGAUAAGGGAAAUCUGUGUCCUAAGAUGGCCGACCGACCCAGCAAGGGAGUCCCAGCCCUUGCCCCGGGCCUCUUCUGGGUUCUUCUCCCUGCCCAGCUUCCCGCACGUGCCAAGAGUGCCUAGUAUGCGGAAGUAGAAGUGUAUAAAUUACCCGCUUUGUGCUCACGGCU